rnacentral:rRNA from 1 species
GUGCCAGCCGCCGCGGUAAUACAGAGGUCCCGAGCGUUGUUCGGAUUCACUGGGCGUAAAGGGUGCGUAGGUGGCUGGGAAAGUUUGAUGUGAAAGCUCAGGGCUUAACCCUGAAAUGGCAUUGAAUACUGCCUGGCUGGAGGUUUGGAGGGGGGACUGGAAUUCUUGGUGUAGCAGUGAAAUGCGUAGAUAUCAAGAGGAACACCAGUGGCGAAGGCGAGUCCCUGGACAACACCUGACACUGAGGCACGAAAGCCGGGGGAGCAAACAGGAUUAGAUACCCUGGUAGUCC